rnacentral:rRNA from 1 species
UGUGCCUACGGGACGCAGCAGUGAGGAAUAUUGGUCAAUGGGCGGGAGCCUGAACCAGCCGAGUCGCGUGAGGGAAGACGGUCCUAUGGAUUGUAAACCUCUUUUGUCGGGGAGCAAAGAGAUCACGUGUGGUCAAAAGCGAGAGUACCCGAAGAAAAAGCAUCGGCUAACUCCGUGCCAGCAGCCGCGGUAAUACGGAGGAUCCGAGCGUUAUCCGGAUUUAUUGGGUCUAAAGGGGGCGUAGGCGGAUUAUUAAGUCAGUUGUGAAAGUUUGCGGCUCAACCGUAAAAUUGCAGUUGAUACUG